GCAGUUCGAGCGGUAGAGAGAAGCUUGCUUUCUCUUGAGAGCGGCGGACGGGUGAGUAAUACCUAGGAAUCUGCCUGAUAGUGGGGGAUAACGUUCGGAAACGGACGCUAAUACCGCAUACGUCCUACGGGAGAAAGCAGGGGACCUUCGGGCCUUGCGCUAUCAGAUGAGCCUAGGUCGGAUUAGCUAGUUGGUGAGGUAAUGGCUCACCAAGGCUACGAUCCGUAACUGGUCUGAGAGGAUGAUCAGUCACACUGGAACUGAGACACGGUCCAGACUCCUACGGGAGGCAGCAGUGGGGAAUAUUGGACAAUGGGCGAAAGCCUGAUCCAGCCAUGCCGCGUGUGUGAAGAAGGUCUUCGGAUUGUAAAGCACUUUAAGUUGGGAGGAAGGGCAGUUACCUAAUACGUGACUGUCUUGACGUUACCGACAGAAUAAGCACCGGCUAACUCUGUGCCAGCAGCCGCGGUAAUACAGAGGGUGCAAGCGUUAAUCGGAAUUACUGGGCGUAAAGCGCGCGUAGGUGGUUUGUUAAGUUGAAUGUGAAAUCCCCGGGCUCAACCUGGGAACUGCAUCCAAAACUGGCAAGCUAGAGUAUGGUAGAGGGUAGUGGAAUUUCCUGUGUAGCGGUGAAAUGCGUAGAUAUAGGAAGGAACACCAGUGGCGAAGGCGACUACCUGGACUGAUACUGACACUGAGGUGCGAAAGCGUGGGGAGCAAACAGGAUUAGAUACCCUGGUAGUCCACGCCGUAAACGAUGUCAACUAGCCGUUGGGAGUCUUGAACUCUUAGUGGCGCAGCUAACGCAUUAAGUUGACCGCCUGGGGAGUACGGCCGCAAGGUUAAAACUCAAAUGAAUUGACGGGGGCCCGCACAAGCGGUGGAGCAUGUGGUUUAAUUCAAAGCAACGCGAAAAACCUUACCAGGCCUUGACAUCCAAUGAACUUUCUAGAGAUAGAUUGGUGCCUUCGGGAACAUUGAGACAGGUGCUGCAUGGCUGUCGUCACCUCGUGUCCUGAGAUGUUGGGUUAAUUCCCGUAACGAGCGCAACCCUUGUCCUUAAUUACCAGCACGUAAUGGUGGGCACUCUAAGGAAACUGCCGGUGACAACCGGA
rnacentral:rRNA from 1 species